UCUAGAACAUCCGAUGGCAAAGGGGUCAAGGAAAGGGGAUGCGGGUUGAAGCAAAACAAGUUAGCUCCCCAAAACAAACCGAGCAAGUCGGUCACAAGGCGAGCUCAAGAACUAAGAACGAUCCUCGGCGAGGCACGGGGAGAAAACUUCGUCACAGAGGGAAGUCGCGAGCCGUAGGACGGGAACCGGGAUACCUCCGGGACUGGGGACACUGGGCUAGAGGCUGCAGAGAGCAGUCUGCCUUCAUGAUGACCUCCUACUCCCAAAAUUUUCACCUUGAACUUCAUAGGAAGACCAGUGGACUACGCCGUACGAGACCAACUUCCGGCCUGCAGCGGAAGCUCCCUGGUACAGACACAGACCACCCCCUCUUCUGCUGAGGCCCCUGGCAAAGUUUCUCCGUCGGCUGAUGUCACCCAGGUUUGGAAGAGGACCUUUCUCUUUCUUCACUUCACACAAGUUCCAUAAUGGUGCUUCUCCUCGCCUACGACUUCAACUGCCACCCGAGAUAGAGUCUCGUGGAGCUCAAAUGGGUCCAGUAUUCUCUAAGUCACGAAAGAUAACCCUGAACUACUGUUCCAUCUCCCAAGUGCUGAGAUUAUACAGUGGGGCUGAGGAUGGAACCCAGGGCCUCACAUGUAGUAGGCAAGCACUCUGCCAACAUUACACCCGUAACCCUUGUUUAUCGGAACCCUUUGUUUAUGAUUGACAUUUUUUCCUAUCACCUGCCCAGCCAUCAGUCCAGUCUCACUUUUCGACAUUCCUCUGCACAGAACCACCUGCAGUUCCGUGGAUGCACUGCAUACUUCCCCCAACCCCCCACCUCACUGUCCUCACGCCUCCCCUGGAGACAGCAC